rnacentral:rRNA from 1 species
GUAGGUGGCAAGCGUUGUCCGGAAUUAUUGGGCGUAAAGCGCGCGCAGGCGGUUCUUUAAGUCUGAUGUGAAAGCCCACGGCUCAACCGUGGAGGGUCAUUGGAAACUGGAGAACUUGAGUACAGAAGAGGAAAGCGGAUUCCACGUGUAGCGGUGAAAUGCGUAGAGAUGUGGAGGAACACCAGUGGCGAAGGCGGCUUUCUGGUCUGUAACUGACGCUGAGGCGCGAAAGCGUGGGGAGCAAACAGGAUUAGAUACCCUGGUAGUCCACGCCGUAAACGAUGAGUGCUAAGUGUUAGGGGGGUUUCCGCCCCCCUUAGUGCUGCAGCUAACGCAUUAAGCACUCCGCCUGGGAGUACGGCCGCAAGGCUG